ensembl:lncRNA
AGCCUCAGAGGGAGUUCCGCAACAAUGCCCAUCGGUGCGCCUGCCUAUAACCCGGCCUAAUUUGCAGCACAGUCGGCCGAUUAAUUAAAAAAUGCCAAAAAUCGGUCGAUUAAUUGGCUGGCCGAUCAAUUGGUCGACCUCUAGUACAGACAUUCCUCUCAUUGAUAGCGAGAGCUUGAAGGGGUGAUUUGGAAUGACAUUUUUUUCAGGAGUCACGACAGUAGAGGCAGCGCAACUAUAACUACAUGUAAUUAUUCCCGCCCACUCUAAAGCGAUACUAAACUGCAGUGGAAACACAAGCAUAGCCGUGCUGAGCCGAGCCGAGCCAAGCCGUACCACGCAGUGGAAAAGCACCAUAAAACUACUGACACUUAAACUGAUCUUUGGACCAAGAGAAUAACAGACAAUCUGCAGAAAGGCCUAAAAUGCAGUUUUGUCAUUAUCAUCAGCAGGAAAUUACCUACAAGAGCAUGUGCAGAACCCAGCUGUGUGUCAAUCAAGAGCGAACAUUCCAUCAAAGACUUUCCUUCUGCAUUUAGCGAUGGAACCGUGACUUCUGACCCCAGGUACAGCAAGAAACUCAUGACAGUAAUGAUACUGAUUUUUUGAUAAUGGCUCUAUAGUGUCUUAUUCUAAAUGAAUUUGUUGUUUAAAUGUAAGAAUUUGAAGAAAAAAUGAAAAGAUGUGGAUUUAUAUCUAACGUUUCCAUACAUUUGUGAAAGGGUGUCCUCUUUUUUUCUGCCCCUCAAAAUGUAUGUGCAAAGCAUUGCCCUGUACUACACUAUGGAAUGCUUGGGACAGUAGUUUAGUAGACGUAUAGCAGACAGGUCUAAAACACUACUUUUUGUCAGUGUCAUCAGCAGGAAAAGACCCAGAGGAGCAUCUCCAGAACCCAGCUAUGUGUCAAUGAAGAGCAACAGAUCUAUAAAGCAACCCCCCGAACUCACUGAUGAACCCAGUCUGAAGAUGCUUUCCAGACAAAACAGUACUUACCCCUACUGUCAGACCCAGAACAAGACAGAAUCAGACUUGCUGGACGAGACUAAAGAACUGCAGAGAGUGAAAGACAUACACAAAACCAGCAUGAAGAACAAGUAUGAGAGUUUAUUUGAGGGAAUCAAAAUACAAGAGAAUCAAACCCUCCUUAAAAGCAUUUACACACAGCUGUACAUCAUAG